GGGAACAAUCAGGCAAGAGCCCUUCCAGAUAAACCAUCGGAGGAUGAAACUUGGGAAGGGCCAAACCCUACCUAAGGGAUCAGGCUUUUAAAAACGGUGGCAGGAAGUUUGUCUUUCCAGACUUGCAAGAUUCUGUUGACGUAACCUUACAAUAAGGGGAAAGAAGAUGAGGUGGAUUGCUGUUUUGGAGCUGGACAUGGUAGUUCAUAAACGCCUGUCCCAACUUGAUUUACAGCCUGGAAGUGCUGGGUGAUUGAUUGGAGAAGAUGCCAUUAUCCUCGUUUCCCUCGUAAAGACUGAGGCCAGCAGUUGAAGCCAAACAAGGAGAACAGGAUGCAGUGAUCUGCCAUUUUUCUUCUGGAGAAGCCAUCUGGUGGAAUGGACAAAUGACAGCAAUGUCUUCAGAGAUUUCCCUGGGAUUUGCUACAGGCAUGUUGAAAAAGCCAAGGGCUUGCUGUGAAGAUAGGGGGAAACAACUCCAACAAACAUUUCUGAAA